AACAGGGGAGCCGCCAGCGGCUGAGAGGAAGGCAUGCCUUCGACCCUCGAACCUGAUCUGGAUCAUGCCAGCGUAGGGAGUUAUAGA
rnacentral:ncRNA from 1 species